UGAUAAACAUUUGAGUGAGUGGCGGACGGGUGAGUAACACGUGGGUAACCUGCCCUAAAGUGGGGGAUAACAUUUGGAAACAGAUGCUAAUACCGCAUAAAACCUAACACCGCAUGGUGUAGGGUUGAAAGAUGGUUUCGGCUAUCACUUUAGGAUGGACCCGCGGUGCAUUAGUUAGUUGGUGAGGUAAAGGCUCACCAAGACCGUGAUGCAUAGCCGACCUGAGAGGGUAAUCGGCCACACUGGGACUGAGACACGGCCCAGACUCCUACGGGAGGCAGCAGUAGGGAAUCUUCCACAAUGGACGAAAGUCUGAUGGAGCAACGCCGCGUGAGUGAAGAAGGUUUUCGGAUCGUAAAACUCUGUUGUUGGAGAAGAAUGUAUCUGAUAGUAACUGAUCAGGUAGUGACGGUAUCCAACCAGAAAGCCACGGCUAACUACGUGCCAGCAGCCGCGGUAAUACGUAGGUGGCAAGCGUUGUCCGGAUUUAUUGGGCGUAAAGCGAGCGCAGGCGGUUUCUUAAGUCUGAUGUGAAAGCCUUCGGCUCAACCGAAGAAGUGCAUCGGAAACUGGGAAACUUGAGUGCAGAAGAGGACAGUGGAACUCCAUGUGUAGCGGUGAAAUGCGUAGAUAUAUGGAAGAACACCAGUGGCGAAGGCGGCUGUCUGGUCUGUAACUGACGCUGAGGCUCGAAAGCAUGGGUAGCAAACAGGAUUAGAUACCCUGGUAGUCCAUGCCGUAAACGAUGAGUGCUAGGUGUUGGAGGGUUUCCGCUCUUCAGUGCCGCAGCUAACGCAUUAAGCACUCCGCCUGGGGAGUACGACCGCAAGGUUGAAACUCAAAGGAAUUGACGGGCGCCCGCACAAGCGGUGGAGCAUGUGGUUUAAUUCGAAGCAACGCGAAGAACCUUACCAGGUCUUGACAUCCUUUGACCACUCUAGAGAUAGAGCUUUCCCUUCGGGGACAAAGUGACAGGUGGUGCAUGGUUGUCGUCAGCUCGUGUCGUGAGAUGUUGGGUUAAGUCCCGCAACGAGCGCAACCCUUAUUACUAGUUGCCAGCAUUUAGUUGGGCACUCUAAUGAGACUGCCGGUGACAAACCGGAGGAAGGUGGGGACGACGUCAAUCAUCNUGCCCCUUAU
rnacentral:rRNA from 1 species